GACGAACGCUGGCGGCGUGCCUAAUACAUGCAAGUCGAGCGGACCAAACAGGAGCUUGCUCUUGUUUGGUUAGCGGCGGACGGGUGAGUAACACGUGGGUAACCUGCCCGUAAGACCGGGAUAACUCCGGGAAACCGGAGCUAAUACCGGAUAACACCGAAGACCGCAUGGUCUUUGGUUGAAAGGCGGCUUCGGCUGCCACUUACGGAUGGGCCCGCGGCGCAUUAGCUAGUUGGUGAGGUAACGGCUCACCAAGGCGACGAUGCGUAGCCGGCCUGAGAGGGUGACCGGCCACACUGGGACUGAGACACGGCCCAGACUCCUACGGGAGGCAGCAGUAGGGAAUCUUCCGCAAUAGACGAAAGUCUGACGGAGCGACGCCGCGUGAGCGAAGAAGGUCUUCGGAUCGUAAAGCUCUGUUGUUAGGGAAGAAGAAGCGCCGUUCGAACAGGGCGGCGCGGUGACGGUACCUAACGAGAAAGCCCCGGCUAACUACGUG
rnacentral:rRNA from 1 species